rnacentral:tRNA from 1 species
CGGGGUGUAGGUCAGUUGGCUAGACCGCCUGAAUGGGGUUCAGGAAGUCGGUGGUUCGAGUCCACUCAUCCCGACUA